rnacentral:lncRNA from 1 species
UUUUUUUUUUUUUUUUGGUCUUUUUAGGGCUGCACCCACGGCAUAGGGAAGUCCCCAGGCUAGGGGGUCGAAGAAUUGGAGCUGUUGCCACUGGCCUUUACUAUGGCUCACAGCAACGCAGGAUCCUCAAUCCACUGAAAGAGGCCAGGGAUCAAACCUGAGUCCUCAAUGAUACUGCUCAGGUUCAUUACCAUUGUGCCAUCAUUGGAACUCUGCAAGAGAAGCUUUAAACUUCUCUCGCAAUGUUUCAUUAAGAACUACACCCAUUUAAAAAUAAUUUGACAAUUCUUCUGGAUGAAUUCUUCUGAAGAAGAAAUUGUUCGUAUACAUCAUCCCAUCUUAUCAUACUUUCACAGCUGCUGAUGAGUGCUAAUACACCAUGCCAUUUUGAGAGAGUUGGCAAAAUGACAAGUGAUAGAGCCUCCCAGGUAAGUACCAAUUAAAAUGAUUUCAGAUCAUUUUAAAUGAGUGUUAUGUAAUAGUCACAGCUCUUGGGAAGAACAAGGACUUUGUCUUUUUGCAAGGGGAGAAGAAUCAUCUUGCUUCCCAACUAUGCAGGAUUAUCUGAUGUCACGUAAUUCUUCAACACGUAUUCUGCAGCACCCGCUGUAAUUUCAAGUUCAAAGCAGCAGGGACAGCUGUAUAUACUGUAGCCUGAAAAGAGCAGAAUCAUCUUUUUUGGUGUUUCCCUCCCUUUGCCUUUGCUUGCUUCCCAGAAUUUCCAUGUGCUCUACUCUGCCACAUAAAGAAUAGCGGCCUGUGUAUAAUUUCUGAUGCUCACUUUCUAACUAGGUCUCUCUAGUUAGUGAUAAAUGAUACAAAAGCUUUAGCCUCCAACCACUAGUCUAUUUUUGCCAUUCAAGUUACAAUAGAAAAUUUAGUAUUUUCUUUUUUAAAUGUUUUAGAUUUCUCACUCUGCUCUUCAGCCUUUCCAGAUAGGGUUGGACAAAGGAGAACUAUAUUUUAAAUAUAGUUUCAUCCAAAAAUGAGUGUGGGAAAGCACACUUCCUAUGAAUCGAAGAUAAUAUUUGCAACCUAGUGCAAAAAAAAUUUUUUUUUUGCAGCUAGUGUUUGUUUUGUGUAUUCAAAAUGUCACUCAAUACCUUUCAUAUAGGGCUUUUAUGGCUCCAAGUAAGAUGAAUGCUGGCUACCAUGGAAUGACUUUUUUAAAGUUUUGCUUAAGGGAAGCAGCUUAACUUUAAGCACAGGACCCCUCAGGAAAAAAAAAAAAAAAAAAAAAAGGAAGUUCCUAAAAGACUUCAUUAACCUUUAUUAAAUUUCAAUAUAAAUUAACCUCAAGAGAAGAUCUUACCCUCCAUGUAAGCAGUUCCCCAAAAGACAAAGCUGUUUGGUUAACUUACAGUAAGUGUGGAGACUGGGAAUUUAACUUUGUCCUGCUUAUGCAGCAAAAACAUUUCAAAACACCAACCUGAUCAAUUCCAAUGAACCCUUCAUAACUGAAACUUCUCAUUUCAGAUUUUUAAAUUCACCUUAGGAUAGUAACAUUUAUAAUGCACUCAUUAUAAAUGAACUACAUGAGUAUAUGUUUAUAUUUUCUUGCAUUGUGAAGAUAAACACAGUCUUUAAUGAACACUUUAAAUUUUUAUUUUUACCAUGCAUUAUUUAUACACAAAGUAAAAGGACUGUGAUUUUAAACAAUCAACUGAUCUUGAUAAAGUCCCUUUACUCUUCUUUCAUACAUAAAAGUGAGACAUUUACACCAUCAAAUCUCUAAUAAUCCCUAUGGAUGUAAGAUCUUGUGAAAGGAUAAAAAGAAACUUUGGCUCAAUUUUAACUUUUUCAUAUUUUUGCUGUGAGUAUGUCCCCUACAUUAUAAUAACAAUGUUUUAGAUUUAUAAAACUUAACUUUCUUGAGGCACUUUCAAAUCUAUUAUCUCAUCUACUCAUGGAAAGAUGUAGUUGGGGAGAAAGGAUUUUCAUAUUCUCACCCAUAUGUUUUUCUCUGACAACUGCUAAGCCUGGGGAAUUUAUCAGAGUCAUAAAAUCCUGACCUAGAAAGGACUUAAUUUAUAUCUUUCUGCAGCCUUCAAUAAAACUGAGGAUCAGAAUAACAUUGGAUUUUUCACACACCAUCCUAUGCCUUUUGACUAAACCAGACUCUAAGUGAUCGUCCCCUUUGUUAUCUGCUAAAUUAUUUAAAAUGGUAGAACUAAAACACAAUGCAGAUCCUUGCAAGAACAGAAACAUGACAGGCUACAAACAAUGGUUUAUUUCAGAGUAAAAUCCCACCAAGUCAGCAUAAGUGGAUAACAGCAAAGUUUCAAAUGUGAGAUGGCUUAAUUCUGAACUGGAGGAUUAUGAGUAGGCUUAAUUCUGAACUGGAAGAUGACUAAAUGUGGUAAUAUGAUACUAUGAAAAACUGGAAGGUUUCUUCCAUAUGUAUUUUGUUGUUGUUUUUCCAUACUUACUUACUCAUUUUUAAUAGUUGCAUCGAAUACUUGUUAUCAGCUAUCCCCAGAAUUUGCUGUCCCUCUGGGGGUUACAGAGAUGAAUAAUAAUGGAAAAUGGCUAACAUUUAUUGAGGACCUAGUAUGUGCUUAGCUAUGCUAAGUGCUUCAUGUACAGUUAAGGCCAACCUAAGGCUACACUGCCAUAAAGUGGUAGCACCUGGGUUCUGACAUUGACCUGCCUGCCCAGACUCUGUGCUGUUAAAUGCAGCUCAUUUUAAGAAUAAGCCAGAGUCCCAGCUCUCAAGGAGAUUCCCCAAAUCUAGUAAGCAGGAUGCCCUGCUCACUCUUCCCAUAACAUAAUACUUGCCUCUAAAUUAUUUAUUUGUGUUAAGAUUCCCAUCCCAACCCUCCCCCAAAUAAGACAACAUUAGCUCAAAAUUAUCUCUGUGAGAGAUUUUUUUUUCAGUUCCCUUAAAAAAGUGCUUGCUAAUGACCUGGUAAUUGUUUUAUGCCUUCUUAAAUGAAGCGUGAAGUCACUGAAAAGUCACAGAAAUACUGUGAAAGCUUUGACAGAAGUAGUGGCUUCCUCAGGAAUUGCUUCACACUGGCAUUGGCCUCUACGUUCUCAAACUUUAAAGAAAUGAGUGGACCAGGGCAUCAAAGAGGAGGGUCCGACAGUUCCUAUUUGAUUUUUUUAAAAUAAUACUCAUAUUGAUAAGGAUACAAUGACACACUAACUAGGAGAACGAGAAUUGGUACAACGUUCUGAAAAGCAAUUUGCAUUCUGUCUAGAAAGACACUCAUGCCCUAUGACCCAGUAACUAGAAUCUAUCCUANNNNNNNNNNNNNNNNNNNNNNNNNNNNNNNNNNNAUAUAUACUUAUCUAUCCCUUAACAGUAAUACCACAAUAUUGAAAGCAAUUUAUAAAAAUGUGCAAAAAUAUGGAAAUGAUUAAAUACAUUAUGCACAACAGUCACACACUGGAGGAGUUCCUGUCAUGGCACAUGGUUAACGAAUCCAACUAAGAACCAUGAGGUUGCGGGUUCAAUCCCUGGCCUUGCUCAGUGGGUUAAGGAUCCGGCGUUGCCGUGAACUGUGGUGUAGGUUGCAGAUGCGGCUGGGAUCCCGCGUUGCUGACUGUGGCAUAGGCCGGCAGCUACAGCUCCGAUUAGACCCCUAGCCUUGGAACCUCCAUGUGUCGCAGGAGCAGUCCAAAAAAAUGGCAAAAAGACAAAAAAAAAAAAAAAAAAACCACAGUGGAAUUUACAGUCAUUUUUAUGUGAUCUCUUCCAAAUACUUUGAAUGAUAUUGGAAAAUAUUUACUUCAAAAAUUUUAAGUGAGAAAAAUGGGAUCAAACCAUCAUAUACAUGAAGAUCUUUUUAAAAGAUAAAUAAUUAUAAAGAGAAAGAGAAGUAAAGACUGGACAAGGUAUAUAUAUUCAUAAAAAGGCUAUAAUACAACAAAACAAAAAUUUCUUAAAGUAACCAAACAGUAAUAAAAUUUAUUUGUUAAAAACCAAAGGAAGAAGCUCAGAUUCUUGCCCUCUAUCACACAUCCUUCUCAAAGGUCCAGGUUCCCUUUUGACCUUCAAGAGGAUGCCCAUGGAUUGCAAGAAACUGCUUCCAUUCAGCCAAUCAUGAGUGUCUGGAAGCAGACUCUACUUAAGAAGCAACACAGGGAGACAGGAUUAAGAUGGAGGAAUAGAAGGACUGGAGCUCAACUUCUCUCCUAAAAACAACAAAAUUCACAACUAAAGACUGAGCACUCUCCACCCAAAUGGACUGGAAACCUUAAAAAAGAUAUCCUACUCCAGAAGAAAAAGAGGAGGACACAUCAACAGGCAGGAGGGGUGAUUUCAUGAUAUAAACAACCCCAUACCUCCUGGGUGGGAAGCUCCACAGACUGGAAACUAACUGGUUCACAGAGACUCACUUACAAGAGUGAGAGUUCUGAGCCCCACAUCAACCUCCCACGGGUGGAGAUCUGGCACUGGAAGAAAGAGCCCCUGGAGCAUCUGGCAUUGAAGGCCAGUGGGCCUUGUGUGCAGGAGCUCCAUGGGACUGGGGGAAACGGAGACCCCAUUCUUAAAAGGCGCACACAGACGUUCACAUGCACUGGGUCCCAGGGUAAAGCAAUGUCUCCAUGGGAAUCUGGGUCAAACCUGACCACAGUUCUUGGAGGACAUCCUGGGAAAACAGGGGUGAAUGUGGCUUGUUGUGAGGGAAGGACACUGAAAGCAAAGCUCUCAGGAAUAUUCAGCAGCUGUGCCUUUCUCUGGAGGUGGCCAUUUGGGGAAAAUCUGGCCCCACC